AUUGAACGCUGGCGGCAUGCUUUACACAUGCAAGUCGAACGGCAGCACAGGGAGCUUGCUCCUGGGUGGCGAGUGGCGAACGGGUGAGUAAUGUAUCGGAACGUGCCUGGUAGUGGGGGAUAACUACUCGAAAGAGUGGCUAAUACCGCAUGAGAUCUUUGGAUGAAAGCGGGGGACCUUCGGGCCUCGUGCUACUGGAGCGGCCGAUAUCAGAUUAGGUUGUUGGUGGGGUAAAGGCCUACCAAGCCUGCGAUCUGUAGCUGGUCUGAGAGGACGACCAGCCACACUGGGACUGAGACACGGCCCAGACUCCUACGGGAGGCAGCAGUGGGGAAUUUUGGACAAUGGGCGCAAGCCUGAUCCAGCAAUGCCGCGUGCAGGACGAAGGCCUUCGGGUUGUAAACUGCUUUUGUACAGAACGAAAAGUCUCUGGCUAAUAUCUAGAGAUCAUGACGGUACUGUAGGAAUAAGCACCGGCUAACUACGUG
rnacentral:rRNA from 1 species